rnacentral:pre_miRNA from 1 species
GUAGUACUCCCUCCGUCUGGAAAUACUUGUCAUCAAAAUGGAUGAAAAUGGAUGUAUCUAGAACUAAAAUACAUCUAGAUACAUCCAUUUCAAUGACAAGUAUUUCCGGACGGAGGGAGUAUCAU